UACGUAGGUGGCAAGCGUUGUCCGGAUUUAUUGGGUUUAAAGGGUGCGUAGGCGGUCUUUUAAGUCAGUGCUGAAAUAUCCCGGCUUAACCGGGAGGGUGGCAUUGAUACUGAAGGACUUGAGUACAGUCGAGGUAGGCGGAAUCGACGGUGUAGCGGUGAAAUGCUUAGAUAUCGUCAAGAACACCGAUAGUGUAGACAGCUUACUAGGCUGAAACUGACGCUGAGGCACGAAAGUGUGGGGAUCAAACAGG
rnacentral:rRNA from 1 species